GUUCCUGUACUGCAAUGGAAAGCGCUUUGGAUUUCUAAUCCAAAAGUCGUGGGUUCGAAUCCCACCUGGAAUG